UGGACGAAAGUCUGACCGAGCAACGCCGCGUGAGUGAAGAAGGUUUUCGGAUCGUAAAACUCUGUUGUUAGAGAAGAACAAGGACGUUAGUAACUGAACGUCCCCUGACGGUAUCUAACCAGAAAGCCACGGCUAACUACGUGCCAGCAGCCGCGGUAAUACGUAGGUGGCAAGCGUUGUCCGGAUUUAUUGGGCGUAAAGCGAGCGCAGGCGGUUUCUUAAGUCUGAUGUGAAAGCCCCCGGCUCAACCGGGGAGGGUCAUUGGAAACUGGGAGACUUGAGUGCAGAAGAGGAGAGUGGAAUUCCAUGUGUAGCGGUGAAAUGCGUAGAUAUAUGGAGGAACACCAGUGGCGAAGGCGGCUCUCUGGUCUGUAACUGACGCUGAGGCUCGAAAGCGUGGGGAGCAAACAGGAUUAGAUACCCUGGUAGUCCCA
rnacentral:rRNA from 1 species